GGAGGAAGCAAGCAAGUAUUAUGUUUUCUACGGUCUUUUGAUCAUCCACGAGUUAAUUAUUCGUCGCGGAUGGAACAAGUUAUCACUUGAAGAACAAUGCAGCAUUAAAUCGUUCUUAUUGCAGCUUGGUACAAGCUCACAUUCAGCAUUGUCGACGCACUUAACUCACAAUAAACUCUCUGCAGUAAUAACAAUCGUAGCAACACUAGAAUGGCCUGAAAAAUGGCCGGAACUUUUUUCUACUUUACAAGCCACACCUUGUUAUAACUCCACCGUGAUUGCUCUCAUUUCGUUGCGCGAUCUCAUUAAUAUAUGCUACAACACGUGUACUAGUCCUGUUGAUAUAUGUUUGGAAAGACAACGAGUUAUUGCUAAAAAUUUAGAAAAAGGUGUUUCCGAAAUAAGUCGAAUUUUGCAAAAUGCUUUUUUUUUUAUUACCGAUGAAACGGCCUGUAAUAAAGUGGCAUCACAGACGGCGGGAAGUCGUAGCGAAGAUACAAAAUUAACUUUAAUCA